UACAGAGGCCUCGAGCGUUGUUCGGAAUUACUGGGCGUAAAGGGAAUGUAGGUGGUGACGUAAGUCAGAUGUGAAAGCCCUGGGCUUAACCUGGGAAGUGCAUUUGAUACUGCGUUGCUUGAGUAUGAGAGAGGAAAGCGGAAUUCCCAGUGUAGGAGUGAAAUCCGUAGAUAUUGGAAGGAAUACCGAUGGCGAAGGCAGCUUUCUGGCUCGUAACUGACACUGAGAUUCGAAAGCGUGGGUAGCAAACAG
rnacentral:rRNA from 1 species